UGCAGCUCAUUAUAACGUUCUAAUAAAUGUGUGUGUGUGUGUGUGUCACAGUGAGCAGGAGACGUUGUCCUCACUGCGUCUGCAUGUGGAGGAGGUGCAGAGGAGGGAGGAGGAGGUGAAGAGAGAGAGAGACAGGCUGAGGAGGGACAGAGACAGACAGGAGGACAUUAACAGACAGCUGGAGACUCAAACACUUGGACGAGUGGAGGCUGAGCUGCUGGAGAACGUCCAGCUGACGGAGAGAGAGACUCUGCACCGCGUGGAGAUCCACGCUCUUAAGGGGGCGCUGGAGAGACAGCAGCUGGACACACAGAGAGCAGAAGAAGAAGCUGCUGACGCCAGAGACGCCCUGCAGAAAGUACAGCCGAUAACAACAAACAACAACAACAACAACAAUAAUAAUAAUAAUGUCCUCUUAUGCCCUGUGUCCUCCCUCUGUU